AACCAGCACCUCAAGUGGUCAGGAGGAUUAUUGGGCCUAAAGCAUCCGUAGCCGGCUCUGUAAGUUUUCGGUUAAAUCCAUGUGCUCAACGCAUGGGCUGCCGAAAAUACUGCAUAGCUAGGGAGUGGGAGAGGUAGACGGUACUCGGUAGGAAGGGGUAAAAUCCUUUGAUCUAUCGAUGACCACCUGUGGCGAAGGCGGUCUACCAGAACACGUUCGACGGUGAGGUGCGAAAGCGUGGGGAGCAAACAGG
rnacentral:rRNA from 1 species